ACCAAGUAGAGAAAAUGACUUUUCUCUUCCUACUAUUUGUAAAAUAAUUUAGAGUUUUAAUUUGAAAAAAACUUUUAUUUUGAAAGGAGGAAAUGUAAUUUUCACUCCGUCGCUUUACUUCCUGUUUCACGAACACGUUGCGGUCUUUUUGCACUCUUGAACACGAGCUAGAGAGUCUGUGAGACUAGGUCUCUUGCGGUGCUCAUGCUGAAACCUCUUCUUGUGGAAAGGAAUACGAGCUAGAGAGGCUGUGUGACUAGGUCCCUUGCGGUGCUCGUGCUGAAACCUCAACUUGGCUAGGUAUUUUCUGAUGGUUAAGAAAGCUGCGAAUCGGAUUCCUGGAUACCUGAUGUUCUCCGGAAGGGGAUGGCGAGCCUGUACCCAGAACUGAACCGAACUCUCAUCUGAAGAUCCCUCUUCUGAAGAUCCUCAUCCUCACGUGCUAACAAAGUGGUAACAACUCACACUGACGGAGAGGAAAAGAACUAAACUAUAAAAGGCCUUGACUGACUAAAAAAAAAACAAACAAACACUGAGCUCAGGGACUGGGGUUUUGUUUUGUUUUCUGUUGCCGGCUUAUUGUUAUUGAAAUUGUAAAUGUUCUAUAUUUUUUCUAUUUUGCUUAUCAAUACAAUUAUUAUUGUUGCGCAUCUCCUGUCUCCAGCUAUUUCAUUCUGCACUCACUUCAGUUUCAUUGUACUCCUGCCGAACCUAUUGACUGGUCCAGAUGUUUGCAUUCCCAUAAUCUACUUAACGUUAGUCAGGGGUUACAA